UUCUUCGGAGAGUUUGAUCCUGGCUCAGGAUGAACGCUGGCGGCGUGCCUAAUACAUGCAAGUCGAGCGAACUGAUUAGAAGCUUGCUUCUAUGACGUUAGCGGCGGACGGGUGAGUAACACGUGGGCAACCUGCCUGUAAGACUGGGAUAACUUCGGGAAACCGAAGCUAAUACCGGAUAGGAUCUUCUCCUUCAUGGGAGAUGAUUGAAAGAUGGUUUCGGCUAUCACUUACAGA
rnacentral:rRNA from 1 species